rnacentral:rRNA from 1 species
UACGUAGGUGGCAAGCGUUGUCCGGAUUUACUGGGCGUAAAGAGCGCGCAGGCGGUCGUUCAAGUCGCGUGUGAAAGCCCCCGGCUCAACUGGGGAGGGUCACGCGAUACUGAUCGACUCGAAGGCAGGAGAGGGUAGUGGAAUUCCCGGUGUAGUGGUGAAAUGCGUAGAUAUCGGGAGGAACACCAGUGGCGAAGGCGACUACCUGGCCUGUUUCUUGA